rnacentral:lncRNA from 10 species
CUGGCUAACACGGUGAAACCCCAUCUCUACUAAAAAAAUAAAAAAAUAAAAAAUAGCCAGGCGUGGUGGUGGGCGCCUGUAGUCCCAGCUACUUGGGAGGCUGAGGCAGGAGAAUGGCGAGAACCCUGGAGGUGGAGCUUGCAGUGAGCCGAGACCGCGCCACUGCACUCCAGCCUGGGCGACAGAGCGAGACUCCAUCAACAAACAAAAAAAAAAAAAAAAGAAAAAAGAAAAAGAAAGAGAGAGAGAGACGAAAGAAAGAAAGAAGGAAAGAAAGAAAGACACCAAACUCUGCAGACAGAAUCUGUAACUGAAAGCUGGCUCAUUUAUGAGGGUAAAAUUAACAUAUUCAGCAGGACAAGUGAAGAGAUCACUUCUGUGACACAAGAGUGGGCUGUUAUGGAAAAGAACCAAACGCAGACUUUAAAAUGAGAAUCCAGCUCUUCUAUACAGCAGACGGGCUAAAUAGAAGAACAGAUGGAAUAAACGCAGGAAUGAGUGAGCUGGGAGCAUGAGUCGGAGGAAAGAUGAACAUAGAGAAGGCAUAAAGGAAAGUUUAAAUGCGGCAAUGGAUCCAAAAGAUGCAAUUUCCUUUAAAAGGAGACACAAAGGAAAGAAUGGAAAAAAUAGAUCUCGUGGAAGGCAAAAGACGGACAAAAAGAUAGUGCAAAAAGUUCUUCCAGAGUUUAACAAAAAAGACACGAAGUUUCGAAGUUUUAUGAGAGUAAAACGGUAGGGAUGAAAAUGGAGGAACACUCCAUUUUGAGGGAAACUGAAGGACGCUAAGAGUCAAGAGUAAUUCCUAAAAUCUUCUAGAAAGAAAAACAGAUUGCCUACAGAGAAAGCAAGAAACUGAAAAUGAGGUAGCAAUUGCAUCAGAGUUCCAGAAUUUUCUACCUACUUGACAGUAUAAUUCAAGGGCUAAACAGUGAACCAAAAAAGCAGAGACAAAGAGGGGAAACAAAAUGGAACACAAGAAAUGGUAAAAGGAGGAAGGUCUGUUUAUUGUUUCCAAAAGAACUAAUACCAAGGCAGAACUAAAAUCCUACAGCAGCUCUGACCCAUAGAAAAAUAACGUGGGCCAAAUUUGUAAUUUCAAAUUUUCAAUAACAACUUUAACAAAGGGAAAUGAGUCACCAUACCUGGCCUGCUGAGGU